AGCUUCUGAGGGAGGAGCCUCUGAGAUGAAGUUGGCCAUGCCCCUUCCUGUCCCAGGCUGCUGCUUGUUCCUGCAAGCUUAGUCUCAGGAGCCUCUGGGGAGAGGGUGGCCAGGCCCCUUCCUGCCUCUGGCUGCUGCUACCUUGUUCUCAGAGCCUUUGGAGGGCAGGGCCUACCACACUGCUGUGCAUCCCAGCACCGCACCCUAGCUUCUGCACUCCUGUUCCAGCCUGCUGCCCAGCCUGCCACCAAGCCACAGUUGGGGGACAGCCUAGGGAGGGAGCCUGCACUGCCUGUGGGCCCCUCCCCCACCAUCACUGCCGGAGCCUAAAGGUGCCUUGCCUGCCCCAGCUGCCUUGGCAGGCCAACCCCCACCUUCACUUCCAGUUUUAUCAGAAGCACACCUUGAGUGGCUGAACUGGGUGUCUGUUACCACCACUGUUGCUGCUACUGCUACCAUCUGUUCUGCUACUGCCCCCUCUCAGGAGAGGGGGAGAUUCCCUGCUGUACCACCUUGCACCACUCACCAUAACACCUGCCCUGGAUUACUCCCUAAUUAACUGAUUGCUCCUGCCUUCCCCUACAGAUGCCUCACUGCAUCUGAUCCUGCUUUGUUUUCCUGCCUGCUGCCGAGUUCCUGGCUGGAGGCCUGAGGGGCUCCUGGACUGAUCUUCAAUAAACAAAACCCCU